rnacentral:rRNA from 1 species
ACAGGUGCUGCAUGGCUGUCGUCAGCUCGUGUCGUGAGAUGUUGGGUUAAGUCCCGCAACGAGCGCAACCCUUGCCUUUAGUUGCCAGCAGUUCGGCUGGGCACUCUAAAGGGACUGCCGGUGUUAAACCGGAGGAAGGUGGGGAUGACGUCAAGUCCUCAUGGCCUUUAUGACCAGGGCUACACACGUACUACAAUGGCCGAUACAAAGGGCAGCGACACUGCGAGGUGAAGCCAAUACCCGUAAAAUCGGUCUCAGUCCGGAUUGGAGUCUGCAACUCGACUCCAUGAAGUUGGAAUCGCUAGUAAUCGUGGAUCAGCAUGCCACGGUGAAUACGUUCCCGGGCCUU